rnacentral:rRNA from 1 species
GAUGAACGCUGGCGGCGUGCCUAAUACAUGCCAGUCGAGCGAACAGACGAGGAGCUUGCUCCUCUGACGUUAGCGGCGGACGGGUGAGUAACACGUGGAUAACCUACCUAUAAGACUGGGAUAACUUCGGGAAACCGGAGCUAAUAUCGGAUAACAUGUUGAACCGCAUGGUUCAACAGUGAAAGACGGUCUUGCUGUCACUUAUAGAUGGAUCCGCGCCGCAUUAGCUAGUUGGUAAGGUAACGGCUUACCAAGGCAACGAUGCGUAGCCGACCGGAGAGGGUGAUCGUCCACACUGGAACUGAGACACGGUCCAGACUCCUACGGGAGGCAGCAGUAGGGAAUCUUCCGCAAUGGGCGAAAGCCUGACGGAGCAACGCCGCGUGAGUGAAGAAGGUCUUCGGAUCGUAAAACUCUGUUAUUAGGGAAGAACAAAUGUGUAAGUAACUAUGCACGUCUUGACGGUACCUAAUCAGAAAGCCACGGCUAACUACGUG